GGUGCCUGAUAUUAACAUGCAUUACACGGAGCAUUAAGCCGGUCUCAUCCGCCCCUAUCGCCCGGUUCACCUCAUUGUCCGACAGAAAGAAGAGCCAUUACUUUCUCUGAGCUGAUGCGCAACAGCCACCUGACCGUGACCCGUUACUACUGCCUCAGCGGUAACAGGAUGAAACAACUCCAAGGGGGGCAUCAAGAAAGGUAAUAGAUGGCGUCUAGAAGCUUAAUUUUAUUUGGUCUUUUCAUACUCUUAAAACAGAUGUUCGGGAUUCUACAAACAUGUUUCCAACUUAUCACUGCUGGCCCACAACGAAUAGACGAAUCAAGCGGAUUUAUCACAAUCAUUUGUGAUCCGAUGGCGCCAUCAUCUGGGGACUAUGAAGAAACGGAGACGAGGUCACGAAAGGUGCCGGUGCCUAUCACCGCUCGGGGAGAAGCAAGACAGGUCACCAGUCCAUCGCAGGGCAUCAUGGGAACAAACAGAACGAACAACCCAUUCAUGUUCACAUUCGCACCCAGGGAGAAUAGAGAGAGAUCGAUUAACCUAACCGUGAGAGAACCCACUCAUGCACUGGACAACAUGUAAACUCUGUGCAAACAAACCUCUUGACUUCCUAGCUGCAACGCAGCAGUGCUACCUACUGCGCCACUGUGUAGUUCAACAACCAAUUCAUCAGUUUAGAAUAUACCAGAUUUUUCAUAUAAAGAGUGACGUUAUUUCAACGAGUCCUUGAUGCAAGGCACUCCAGUAGGGUUAUUGCUGCUUUUGAAGGGGUACAUGUCCACAGCAUACCAGACCCUCUACUUAGCAAAGAGCGUGGGCCAACAGGAGUCUCUCCAGGACCUUCAUGAUGUGGGCAACCGGUCUAUAAGUCGUUAAUGACUGAUUGGUGAGUUUUCUUGUUACCAGAACCAGGCAGGAUAUCUUCCACAACCGAACCUACUCUUCAGUCAAGCUAAAGUUGAAGAGGUGCUGCAGAAUCCCACAGAUCUGCUUUUCAGGAUUCUGGAACUGACACCAUCUGGACCUGCAGCCUUGUUCCGGAUGAGUCUCUCCAGUUGCCUCUUCACUUGACUAUGGGGGAAUUUUUCUACCAUAAUUCUAGAGCACACAUUUUCAGUCUGAAAGCAGGAUUUCAUAGCAGAAAAUUCCCCCGACACUUAACUUCUAAAGUGGGAGGAGGAGGAAAAGGGAGCAGCAGCAUCUCCCGAUUUGGUUGAAGAAAAACUUGUGGAAUCAGAAAAGUUCAUGACUCAGGUGGAAGACAAAACAUCUGAAAUUUGACAAGACAGCUGCGGGUAAAAGGAUGGUGGAUGUCUGUUUGUCUGGGGUCAGGAAAGGAGGAUGUUGAGAUUGUUCCUGAACUAAAUCUGAUGAAGAAUGUGUUCAACUCGUUUGCUCAGUCUUAAAAUAUUAAUUAAUUACCUGCCAGGUAAAUUAGUUGACUCAGCUGAAUGAAAUCAAAAUUAAUGCGUGAGUAUGUUUAUUGAUCACAUUUAAAAUGGUAUUGAGAUAAAUUGAAUCUGAUGACUUUAAGGCCUUUAGCAUUACAUCUACUUAUGGCGCCACCUGCUGGACAUUACGCAGAGUAACGGGAAUUUAGGAAUCUAGUGUGUUAAAAAGACUUGGGGAUCGUAAUUCUAGAAAGAAAGUAAUGUCUUCUAAAUGGUUCAUUUGUAAUUUGAGAAGUUUGUACUUUUCCUUGUCAUUUACAGGGAAGCCCACUAAUACAUAAAACUCAAAGAGUUUAUAGACUGUACUUUUACAUUUUCCUUCAUACGUUUCAUUUAUAUUUUUGUCAGUUUCAUUGUCGUGGGUAACUAUUUUAA